UACGUAGGGUGCAAGCGUUGUCCGGAAUUAUUGGGCGUAAAGAGCUCGUAGGCGGUCUGUCGCGUCGGAUGUGAAAAUCCAGGGCUCAACCCUGGACCUGCAUUCGAUACGGGCAGACUAGAGUUCGGUAGGGGAGACUGGAAUUCCUGGUGUGGCGGUGAAAUGCGCAGAUAUCAGGAGGAACACCGAUGGCGAAGGCAGCCCCCUGGGUUAACACUGACGCUCAUGCACGAAAGCGUGGGGAGCAAACAGG
rnacentral:rRNA from 1 species